rnacentral:rRNA from 1 species
UAGGGAAUCUUCCACAAUAGGCGAAAGCCUGAUGGAGCAACGCCGCGUGUGUGAUGAAGGGUUUCGGCUCGUAAAACACUGUUGUAAGAGAAGAAUGACAUUGAGAGUAACUGUUCAAUGUGUGACGGUAUCUUACCAGAAAGGAACGGCUAAAUACGUGCCAC